AGAGUUUGAUCAUGGCUCAGAAUCAACGCUGGCGGCGUGCCUCAGACAUGCAAGUCGAACGCGAAAGUCCCCUUCGGGGGGCGAGUAGAGUGGCGCACGGGUGAGUAACACGUAGGUAAUCUACCUUUGGAUGGGGAAUAACAACCGGAAACGGUUGCUAAUACCGCAUAAUGCAGCGGCACCUAAUGGUGACAGUUGUUAAAGCGGGGGAUCGAAAGACCUCGCGUCUGAAGAGGAGCCUGCGGCGGAUUAGCUAGUUGGUAAGGUAACGGCUUACCAAGGCUACGAUCCGUAGCCGGCCUGAGAGGGCGGUCGGCCACACUGACACUGACAUACGGGUCAGACUCCUACGGGAGGCAGCAGUCGGGAAUUUUGGGCAAUGGGCGAAAGCCUGACCCAGCAACGCCGCGUGAAGGAUGAAAUCCCUCGGGAUGUAAACUUCGCAAGAACGGGAAGAAUAAGUAGGGGCCAAUACCCCCUAUGAUGACGGUACCGUUUGUAAGCUCCGGCUAACUCCGUGCCAGCAGCGGCGGUAAUAC
rnacentral:rRNA from 1 species